GACGUAGGGCGCGAGCGUUGUCCGGAUUUAUUGGGCGUAAAGAGCUCGUAGGCGGCUUGUCGCGUCGACUGUGAAAACUUGGGGCUUAACCCUGAGCUUGCGGUCGAUACGGGCAUGACUGGAGUUCGGCAGGGGAGACUGGAAUUCCUGGUGUAGCGGUGAAAUGCGCAGAUAUCAGGAGGAACACCGGUGGCGAAGGCGGGUCUCUGGGCCGAUACUGACGCUGAGGAGCGAAAGCGUGGGGAGCGAACAGG
rnacentral:rRNA from 1 species